rnacentral:rRNA from 1 species
UAUUGCACAAUGGUGGAAACCCUGAUGCAGCGACGCCGCGUGAGCGAAGAAGUAUUUCGGUAUGUAAAGCUCUAUCAGCAGGGAAGAAAAAAAUGACGGUAACUGAGUAAGAAGCACCGGAUAAAUACGUACCAGCAGCCGCGGUAAUACGUAUGGUGCAAGCGUUAUCUGGAUUUACUGGGUGUAAAGGGAGCGUAGGCGGCGCGUUAAGUCUGAUGUGAAAACCCGAGGCUCAACCACGGGAGUGCAUUGGAAACUGGCGGGCUGGAGUGCCGGAGAGGUAAGCGGAAUUCCUAGUGUAGCGGUGAAAUGCGUAGAUAUUAGGAGGAACACCAGUGGCGAAGGCGGCUUACUGGACGGCAACUGACGCUGAGGCCCGAAAGCGUGGGGAGCA